AAAAAAUGUUAGUUGGUGGAACAAUUGUGGCAGUAGAACUACCUUGCUGGUACCCUAACGAAGGCGGUCACCAGAUGUGCAUUGAAACCCUAUCGAACCCUUGCGUUAACAUGGUAAUCAGCCGUUAUCAACAAGGCAAGAUAGUGCAUGGUUAUAGUGGAAUUCAAGCCUUGGUGGAACUUCCUUCUGUAUUUGUCCCGUCUUGUUGAUGGUAGACAGCUGUUCAACACCUCGUACACAACAGAGAAACCCCCUCGGACGAAGACUUCGUUCAGAUCUAAAUGGGCAAGGAGACAGUGUUGCCAUUAUUGAAAGACACAGGAAAAGACACAGGAAAGGAAGCAAUGACAGAAAACAAAUAUCACCAUACCGUCUUGUCUUUAAUGUUUCCAACAGCUGACAGUCCGAUGUAAGCCAGAUUCACAAGUAAGAAGUAUCUGCAGAAGGAAGACCCAAUUAUGGUAGAUCCACGACAGUCCUGGCACAAGCAAACAUGGCAUCACCACAGCCCCGACACAAGCCUUGUUAAACAGAUUAGAUAUGAACUGACAUGUAUAUAAUUAUACCCUCAUGUAUAUGAUUAUACCCUCGUGUACAAAGUACAUGGGAUUAUAUUGGAGUCACACAUGUCAGCAGGCCCGUUCGACCGUUCGCCUAUCUGUCCAUCAUGUCUGCUGGGAAGAUUAAAAAAAACUGGCUUCAUUUAUUAGCCUUAUCAAGAAUGUUCGUUGUGCACAACCCAAGUCACUAGGCCCAAGGUCAGUAUUAUUCUUGGGGGACAAAGUUGAAAUAACUUUAAUUUAGUGUCCGCUCCAUAUUGUCUAAACUGCAACGAAUAUUUAGGUCAAGCAUUCGUUAUUGUACUCGCCCUGCCUUCAGGGUCACUGUCACCGUUAAUUUCAGUUAAAAAAUUUAUAUGAUUCUCAAAGUCACUAUAUUUUCUUGACUACAUCAAACUUCACAUAAGGAAUGAUUGUGGUAAAACACAGACAUUUAUUUGUUAGGGGACAAGCAUCCAAAAGGUCAAAGUUACUGGGGUCAUAUUUUUUAAUUGUGCUGGUUAAAUCUUAGAUUGUUUCUUAUAUCUUCUUAUUCACCUGCUCCUACCCCCUACCCUACCUCCAAAUGGAAAAGAGCCUUAGUUUCAUCACUCACGCUUACUUAUAUCCUAUAACAAUAAAUAUUGGUCAGCAUUUCCGAAUAAUCACGCGGGCUUUCCUUCCAACAGUUCUUGAUAUAAAAUUAGGAUUAGUAAAUAGAUGUAAGCACUCACAACCUAGUUCAUUAGGUCAAAGGUCAAGUUCUGAAGAGAUCGCACCAUAUUGUCUAAUCUAAUAAAGUAAGCACUAACUGUCAAUUCCAUCUAGCCGAAAUAGGAAAAGCACAACAUAUGCCACUUGGUUAAAGGUCAGUGUGACACAUAGGAGGUCAAAGGUCAAAUAGCUUUGUGUCUGCUACAUAUCUUGUAACCCCAUUUUCCUUACAC